CCCCAACGCAUUCAGAGACCUGCUACACCAUGACAAUCCCAAACUCCAUCAUCUACUUGACGGGACUGACUGCAAAACACUCCCUAACCUACUAGAAGGAGCCACCCCCACUCUACUACACCACCUCAAAUACAGACAACUAAGAAGUUAUGUACGAACACUCCCAGGUGGCACAGCCCUGACGAGAAACCCCACCACGUUUGAACGACUAUGCAUGGACCCAGAUCCCCAGCCACACGGGAUCUCACUCCUAUACUCCACACUCCAGAGGGAAACCCUAACAGAG